CGGACGGGUGAGUAACGCGUGGGGAACCUGCCCUGUACCGGGGGAUAGCAGCCGGAAACGGCUGAUAAUACCGCAUAAGCGCACGAAUGUCGCAUGACAUGGUGUGAAAAACUCCGGUGGUAUAGGAUGGACCCGCGUCUGAUUAGCCGGUUGGUGGGGUAAAAGCCUACCAAAGCGAAGAUCAGUAGCCGAGUUGAGAGACUGACCGGCCACAUUGGGACUGAGACACGGCCCAGACUCCUACGGGAGGCAGCAGCG
rnacentral:rRNA from 1 species